rnacentral:rRNA from 1 species
GAGUUGAUCCUGGCUCAGAUUGAACGCUGGCGGUAUGNUAACACAUGCAAGUCGAACGGUAACAGAGAGAAGCUUGCUUCUUUGCUGACGAGUGGCGGACGGGUGAGUAACGCGUGGGAAUCUACCCAGUAGUUGGGGAUAGCCCGGAGGAAUCCGGAUUAAUACCGAAUACGGUCUACGGGCGAAAAGGUGCCUCUUCUUGAAAGCACUUGCUACUGGAUGAGCCCGCGUUAGAUUAGUUUGUUGGUGGGGUAACGGCCUACCAAGACUGUGAUCUAUAGCUGGUUUGAGAGGAUGAUCAGCCACAUUGGGACUGAGACACGGCCCAGACUCCUACGGGAGGCAGCAGUGGGGAAUAUUGGACAAUGGGCGCAAGCCUGGUCCAGCAAUACCGCGUGUGUGAAGAAGGCCUUAGGGUUGUAAAGCACUUUUAUGUAGGAAGAACGGUUGUGAGUUAAUAGCUCAUGACUUUGACGGUACUACAAGAAUAAGCACCGGCUAACUCCGUGCCAGCAGCCGCGGUAAUACGGAGGGUGCGAGCGUUAAUCGGAAUUACUGGGCGUAAAGGGUACGUAGGCGGCUUAAUAAGUCAGAUGUGAAAUCCCCGGGCUUAACCUGGGAACUGCAUUUGAAACUGUUUAGCUAGAGUGAGUGAGAGGUUAGUGGAAUUCAAGGCGUAGCGGUGAAAUGCGUAGAGGUCUUGAGGAACAUCAGUGGCGAAGGCGACUAACUGGCACUACACUGACGCUGAGGUACGAAAGCGUGGGGAGCGAACAGGAUUAGAUACCCUGGUAGUCCACGCCCUAAACGAUGAGGACUGGCUGUUGGCGCUAUAGACGCGUCGGUAGCGAAGCUAACGCGUUAAGUUCUCCGCCUGGGGAGUACGACCGCAAGGUUGAAACUCAAAGGAAUUGACGG